rnacentral:misc_RNA from 1 species
AGGCAUUCUACCAAAACUUUUCAACCAUAAAACACGCCCAAGAAAAUAGUAAUAUUGGCCGGCCUUAAUCUACUUGUAGCUUCUUGUCUAUGGUUGAAAAGUUUUGGUAGAAUGCCUNNNNAAGCAAUGUCUAUAUCCUCCUUUGCACACACCUCCCUCACACUGCAUUUGGAAAUAGGAAAAAACUGUGCAUGGAAAGCUGAGCAAUGCCACAAUCAACAGUGCGGAUGCCUACGCCUGAAGCAAGUAUAGGACCUAUGGUGGACCCACAUCCCAUAUCGUUUCUCACUACAAAUUCCUGAGUUGGAAGGUUGAGGAUUUUGCCAACUUCUUUAAAGAGAAAAGCUGUGAUUCCAUUAGUAGCAUAUCUCAGGUUUGCGUUGUGCUUGAUAACAAGUCCCUUUCGCAUUUCUGGUCGAUGGUGUUCUUCAUGCUUUUCCAUAAAAUUUGGAUGAACUCCAUGAGCC